UACGAGGGGGGCGAGCGUUGUUCGGAAUUAUUGGGCGUAAAGGGUGCGUAGGCGGUUUGGUAAGUCUGAUGUGAAAUCUAUGGGCUCAACUCAUAGUCUGCAUCGGAAACUGCCGGGCUUGAGUAUGGGAGAGGUGAGUGGAAUUCCUGGUGUAGCGGUGAAAUGCGUAGAUAUCAUGAGGAACACCUGUGGCGAAAGCGGCUCACUGGACCAUAACUGACGCUGAUGCACGAAAGCUAGGGGAGCAAACAGG
rnacentral:rRNA from 1 species